CCGGGAGGGGCCCGCCCGGCGACGGGGCCAGAGCGGGGACUGCCCGCCACGUCCUUCCUGCGCUGGAGCGGGCAGAAUUGCGUUUGUGUGAGAGAUAAAGGACUUCUUGCAGGAAAGGAUGUCUCUUAUGAGGUCACAAGACAAAGGGAAGCUCUUCACAGAACUGGACUAAAAAGUGAUCGAUUAGAGAGGACAGUGUAUACA